rnacentral:rRNA from 1 species
GCGCGUAGGUGGCGUGAUAAGCCGGUUGUGAAAGCCCCGGGCUCAACCUGGGAACGGCAUCCGGAACUGUCAUGCUAGAGUGCAGGAGAGGAAGGUAGAAUUCCCGGUGUAGCGGUGAAAUGCGUAGAGAUCGGGAGGAAUACCAGUGGCGAAGGCGGCCUUCUGGACUGACACUGACACUGAGGUGCGAAAGCGUGGGUAGCAAACAGGAUUAGAUACCCUGGUAGUCCACGCCGUAAACGAUGUCGACUAGCCGUUGGGAGCCUCGAGUUCUUAGUGGCGCAGUUAACGCGAUAAGUCGACCGCCUGGGGAGUACGGCCGCAAGGUUAAAACUCAAAUGAAUUGACGGGGGCCCGCACAAGCGGUGGAGCAUGUGGUUUAAUUCGAUGCAACGCGAAGAACCUUACCUACCCUUGACAUCUUCGGAAGCCGAGAGAGAUCUUGGUGUGCCUUCGGGAACCGAAAGACAGGUGCUGCAUGGCUGUCGUCAGCUCGUGUUGUGAAAUGUUGGGUUAAGUCCCGUAACGAGCGCAACCCCUGUCCCUAUUUGCCAGCGAUUCGGUCGGGAACUCUAGGGAGACUGCCGGUGACAAACCGGAGGAAGGUGGGGACGACGUCAAGUCAUCAUGGCCCUUACGGGUAGGGCUACACACGUGCUACAAUGGCAGGUACAAAGGGUUGCAAGACGGCGACGUGGAGCUAAUCCCAUAAAGCCUGCCUCAGUCCGGAUCGGAGUCUGCAACUCGACUCCGUGAAGUCGGAAUCGCUAGUAAUCG